rnacentral:lncRNA from 1 species
AUUUCCAGCUUUGAUCGAUUUAGCUACACGGCUAUUGGCUCCGUCGGCGCCGAUGAUGACAUCGACGGCGAGCUGAUGCUGGCAGUUAUCCAUGGUGUAGUGAAUGACGUACGGCUCGCGUGUGGAUGUGGGGACCACGAGGUUGGUGACCAGUGCUUUGAGAAGAGUGGCGCCGCUAGAUUCAGCCCGCUGCCGGAGGAAUGAAUCGAGCACUUCUCGCCGGAGCAUUGCGAUGAAUUCAUGGGGUUUUAGGGUUUUACCGAAAUCGACGACGAGAUUUGACGGAGAAACGAUUCGCAUCUGAAUGACACGGCGAUCGAUGAGAUUUAAAGGUAUUGAGAAUUCAUCGAGCAUGCAUAGUGGAAUGGCGCCGCCGCAUGGCUUGGCUGUAGCUGGGCUUCGUUCAAAGAGGAAAGUUUCGAUUCCGCCAGUGGCUAGAGCUUCUGCAGCUGAAGACCCAGCUGGACCGCCGCCGAUUACAGCUACUCGAAGCUUGCAGACGACUGGAUUUCUGGGUUUUUGUUUGAAAUGAUGGGUUUGGUUUUGUGGGUUUUGGAUCUUGAGUGGAAAUGGAAGACAUCGAAGAGGGUGAAGCUGAAGGUAUGUUUGGGCGGCCAUUGCUGAUAAAAAAGGGUUUUUUCAGAAGGUUUGAGAUUUGGCAAUGGUGGUAGGUAAACUAUAGUGAUAUUAUAUAAACUAAUUAAAAGAUAAAAUGCUAAACUGAACUUUUGUUUAUUUUACUGUUUGGGGUUUUAACUUUAGUGAGUUUUUAUUUUGAUUUCUCAUUCGAGGUUCGAUAUUCAUAUUAGAAUCUGAUUAAAUUUGAAUUCGCGCUGAGAAAUUCCACAACGGAAGUAAAGCUCCUUAACAAAGGUAAUUUUAUACUCAAGAGGACUCGAACCCAAAACUUCUUGAUUAAAAAUGAAUAAAUACUUAUCACUCCACCACGUAACUUUAAUGAGUUUAGUAGGCGAAUAUGGUGGACACAAAAGGUUGGCAAUCUUGUAAGGCAAAAUUGUCUGACAGACCCUUAUAAUUGUAUUAGUUUGUAUUGCAAACCCUUCUAUUUAUUCAUUUGUCAACUAAGCCCUUAUACUCAGUAAAACAUAAUAUAUCAAACCUUCUGAUCAUUGACCAGCCUUAUGUGACAUUAAUAUGAUUGAGUUGGCACAAAAGCGUGGCUACACACAUUAAAAGGGCAAGUGAAGAUCAUACUUGCAUCAAAAAAAUAUUGAAAUUAUAAAAUAAUUGAUUUUUUAAAAGAAAAAUAAAAUAAAAAAAAUACUUUACUUAUUCUCCCCCACCACACUUCUUUUCCAGCAAUCAUCCUCUUUUCCCAUCAACCCCACACCCCAUCCAUGCUCCAUUUUCCUUCUUCAUAUUUAAUGCAUUGUUUUCAGCAGAUCCAUUCCUUUUUUUUUUUCUAUUUCAAUAAAUUUUUUUUUUUUUUUUUUUUUACUGCAAAUACCUAAUAAGUUACUUCUUUGCUUCUCUCUAAAUUUUCUCUUCGACAUAAGAGGCUUACAUGGAAAGAAAAGGAAAGGAAACAAAGAAAGAUGACAAUGUAGAUCUUAUAUUUUCAAUCAAGAAUUUUCAGCGACAAACUAGAAUUUCAACGACCCAUUUUUGAUUUCUUCUCAGUCCCCGCUUUCUUUCCCACAAAUUGACAUCGAAUUUUACAUUCUAAUCGAUCUUCAAUUUGUCCAAUUUAUUCUCUCCUUUAUCUAUUGCUAGUGAUUCCAGUGACUAUUACAACUAGUUUCUAGGGUUUUUUGGGCAUUAUUUUGUUGUUAGUUGUAUAUUUUUGAGAUUCAAGAUUUUAUUUUUAAGACUUUCAUCCUCAAUGUCCCUUUUCUUAGGUUGUUGGUUUUGUGGAGGCUGGAGGAGGAAAUAAAAAUAGUAAUGGUGUGCGGCGGAGAUGAAGAUAUGUGAGGGAGAAAGUAUAUGUGAAUUUGUCGGCAAAAAUGGCGACGACGGUGGCGAUGACUUUCUCCGGUGGAUUUUGGUCGUGAAACAGUGAUAAUAAUGAGAAUUGGAUGUAUGAAAUUUCACUUUAAAAAAUGCCAAAAAUAAAUUAAAAUGUUAUUAUUUUAUAUUUUAUUAAAUAAUUUGGUUAAUAAUUUUAAAAAAUAGUUAUGAAAUAAUUAUGAUAUGGCAUUGAUAUAUCUGACGUAGAUAUGACAUGUCAAUUAUAUAAAGGAGAGUGAGCUACACAUAUGGUUGGAGGGGAUUAAAAAUUUCAUUUUAAUUGAGUUUAAGGGUCCAAAAUCCAGAUGACAAAGGAAUAAGUAGAAGAAUUCAGAAUACAAACUGAUACAAGUAAAAAGGCUCAUCAGGGCUCAUCAGACCAUUUCGCUAUCUUGUAAUUUAAUUACCAGAUAACUUUGAAGUAGAAAGUGGAAGAAGAGUGCGUUGAAGAAAGUGCCAUUUGAAUUUUGAUAACAUUGAAGUAGGAAGUUUUAGAUUUUAUUUUAUUUUAUUUGAUCUUAAAAAUUUAUAAAUUGAUUUGAUUUUGAUUAUAUUUUAAAAAGAAAGAAUUAUUAAAAACACCAUGAAUUAGGCAUAAAUUAUUAUUUUUUGUCUUGAACUAUUGACUAUUUAAGAAUACCUUUUUACAUGACUAACUAAAUUUAGAUACACUCUCUUAAUCUUAUAAUAUGAGUAAAACUAGAUUAAUAUGGCCCGUGCUAGCAUGGGCCCGCCCAACAUGUAAGUUGGUACAUAUUUGAAAUUUUUAUUCAAUAGUUCUAUAUUUUUUCUUUGUGGAUAAAGGAGAAAAGGGUCUUGACGGAAAGAGGAGUGUACCAUGAGAGAAGCAAGGUGGUUAACCUCUUUCAAUUAUAUACAACGUGAAAUUUAGCAAUGUAAUUGGACUUUCAUGUCAAUUUGAAUGAAUCAUUUUCUUUGCUGCCCAGUAAUUUCAAUCCAAGUCGAAAUAGAAAAAGCCACAGGCUUGAUUUCAAUUGAAGAUAUUCAUUCCUUACUCAAAUAUAUAAAUUUAACACAUUUUCAGACUAUUAUAGAAGACACUGCUAACUUGACAGACAAAGUUAUAGGGAAUCCAGCAAAGUGGCUGAUUACCUUGCAAGAUUGUCCACAACAUUGGACAAUCUAUAUUAAAUCACAUAUUUGAUCAAAUUCCAGCAGGUGCUAAAGGUCCUUGUCUUAUAUGCUUAGCAUAUAUUAGGAUUAUUAGAAUGUAUUCUUAUUACGUAAUGAAAAGGCGUACAUAUAGAUAGACUUAUUGGUUACACAUGCAACAAAUGGCAUACUAACAAACAUGACCAAGUAAAAUAUGCCCUUUUAACUUGUCUCAUUAAUUCAUAUUUAUGCCUUCCAACUUUAGGUGUGUACAAGUAGACAUUUAAAUUUGUAUAAAGUUGAACAAAUAAAUACAUACGUGGCAUCCUAUGUGUGUUAUGUCACAUAAGAUUCACGUGUCUACUUGCUCAAUCUUAUACAAGUUUAAGUGUGUACUUAUACACACCAAAAGUUGAAGGACAUAUAUAAAUGUGAAAUGAGACCAAAUUAAAUGACACAUUUAUGUAUUAUACCUAAAAUAUUCGCGAGAGAAUCUUUUGGGCAGAUCCAUCCAUUUCUCGCCCUAGAAAAUUACACCUGACCAAACUUGAAAUUGUGUUUAUGGCAAUUUUAGCCUCUUCCCACCUAUUCCCACUAGCUAAUUUCUUAUAGAAGUAGCUAUCAAAUGUCAUCCUCUGCACAUAUUCAUCUCCACACAACUCCACCAAUGCUUCCCUUGCUGCAUUGCUACCAUAAAACACUUUUUCCAACAAAUUCAAGAACUUGAAUGUAGUAAAAUACUUGUCAUCCCACUUUCUUAAAUAUUCCCUCUUUAGAUCAUCUUCAUUGAUCAUGUUUUCUCCGCCUUCUGACGCCUUCACGAUUGCUUCCCCACACAUUCUUCCACUUUUUGCCGCGAAAUAUAUUCCUUCGCCUGAACAGUUUGUCACGUAUCCUGCUGCAUCCCCUACCAGAGCAACCCGUCCACGAACCCGAAUAGGACGCGGAUGUUGCGGUAUUGGAUGAGCCUCUACUUUAAUCACUUCUCCGCCUUCGAUCUUUGAUUUUACUCGUGCUUUGAUACCACAUUGAAGUGAUUUGAUAUAAGGUUUUGAGCCUAUCGUGCCUGUCCCCACUGCCACGUGGUCGCAUUUGGGAAAUACCCACGCGUAAAAAUCGGGUGACACGUCAUUCCCUAUGUACAUCUCAGCUAAAUUUUCGUAAUACCCCAUUUUGUCCUCGGGUAAUUUGAUCCUCUCUUGGUAAGCAAUGGCAGUAGUGUAAUUUCCAGCAUUGAUCGAUUUAGCUACACGGCUAUUGGCUCCAUCGGCGCCGAUGAUGACAUCGACGGCGAGCUGAUGCUGGCAGUUAUCCAUGGUGUAGUGAAUGACGUACGGCUCGCGUGUGGAUGUGGGGACCACGAGGUUGGUGACCAGUGCUUUGAGAAGAGUGGCGCCGCUAGAUUCAUCCCGCUGCCGGAGGAAUUCUCGCCGGAGCAUGGCGACGAACUCGUGGGGUUUAAGGGUUUUACCGAAAUCAACGACGAGAUUUGACGGAGAAACGAUUCGCAUCUGAAUGACACGGCGAUCGAUGAGAUUUAAAGGUAUUGAGAAUUCAUCGAGCAUGCAUAGUGGAAUGGCGCCGCCGCAUGGCUUGGCUGUAGCUGGGCUGCGUUCAAAGAGGAAAGUUUCGACACAACCGGUCGCAAGAGCUUCUGCAGCUGACGUUUAGAGACAACUAGAUUUCUUUUCUCUCGUUUGAAAAGAUGGCAUUGCUUUUGUGGGUUGGGGUUUUUGAUCAGUU